rnacentral:rRNA from 1 species
UGAGGAAUAUUGGUCAAUGGGCGAGAGCCUGAACCAGCCAAGUCGCGUGAAGGAAGACUGCCCGCAAGGGUUGUAAACUUCUUUUGUAUGGGAUUAAAGUCGUCUACGUGUAGACGUUUGCAGUUACCAUACGAAUAAGCAUAGGCUAACUCCGUGCCAGCAGCCGCGGUAAUACGGAGGAUGCGAGCGUUAUCCGGAUUUAUUGGGUUUAAAGGGAGCGUAGGCUGUCUAUUAAGCGUGUUGUGAAAUAUACCGGCUCAACCGGUGGCUUGCAGCGCGAACUGGUCGACUUGAGUAUGCAGGAAGUAGGCGGAAUUCAUGGUGUAGCGGUGAAAUGCUUAGAUAUCAUGACGAACUCCGAUUGCGCAGGCAGCUUACUGUAGCAUAACUGACGCUGAUGCUCGAAAGUGCGGGUAUCAAACAGG